UUAAGCGACUAAGCGUACACGGUGGAUGCCCUGGCAGUCAGAGGCGAUGAAGGACGUGCUAAUCUGCGAUAAGCGUCGGUAAGGUGAUAUGAACCGUUAUAACCGGCGAUUUCCGAAUGGGGAAACCCAGUGUGAUUCGACACACUAUCAUUAACUGAAUCCAUAGGUUAAUGAGGCGAACCGGGGGAACUGAAACAUCUAAGUACCCCGAGGAAAAGAAAUCAACCGAGAUUCCCCCAGUAGCGGCGAGCGAACGGGGAGCAGCCCAGAGCCUGAAUCAGUAUGUGUGUUAGUGGAAGCGUCUGGAAAGGCGCGCGAUACAGGGUGACAGCCCCGUACACAAAAAUGCACAUGCUGUGAGCUCGAUGAGUAGGGCGGGACACGUGGUAUCCUGUCUGAAUAUGGGGGGACCAUCCUCCAAGGCUAAAUACUCCUGACUGACCGAUAGUGAACCAGUACCGUGAGGGAAAGGCGAAAAGAACCCCGGCGAGGGGAGUGAAAAAGAACCUGAAACCGUGUACGUACAAGCAGUGGGAGCACGCUUAGGCGUGUGACUGCGUACCUUUUGUAUAAUGGGUCAGCGACUUAUAUUCUGUAGCAAGGUUAACCGAAUAGGGGAGCCGAAGGGAAACCGAGUCUUAACUGGGCGUUAAGUUGCAGGGUAUAGACCCGAAACCCGGUGAUCUAGCCAUGGGCAGGUUGAAGGUUGGGUAACACUAACUGGAGGACCGAACCGACUAAUGUUGAAAAAUUAGCGGAUGACUUGUGGCUGGGGGUGAAAGGCCAAUCAAACCGGGAGAUAGCUGGUUCUCCCCGAAAGCUAUUUAGGUAGCGCCUCGUGAAUUCAUCUCCGGGGGUAGAGCACUGUUUCGGCAAGGGGGUCAUCCCGACUUACCAACCCGAUGCAAACUGCGAAUACCGGAGAAUGUUAUCACGGGAGACACACGGCGGGUGCUAACGUCCGUCGUGAAGAGGGAAACAACCCAGACCGCCAGCUAAGGUCCCAAAGUCAUGGUUAAGUGGGAAACGAUGUGGGAAGGCCCAGACAGCCAGGAUGUUGGCUUAGAAGCAGCCAUCAUUUAAAGAAAGCGUAAUAGCUCACUGGUCGAGUCGGCCUGCGCGGAAGAUGUAACGGGGCUAAACCAUGCACCGAAGCUGCGGCAGCGACGCUUAUGCGUUGUUGGGUAGGGGAGCGUUCUGUAAGCCUGUGAAGGUGUACUGUGAGGUAUGCUGGAGGUAUCAGAAGUGCGAAUGCUGACAUAAGUAACGAUAAAGCGGGUGAAAAGCCCGCUCGCCGGAAGACCAAGGGUUCCUGUCCAACGUUAAUCGGGGCAGGGUGAGUCGACCCCUAAGGCGAGGCCGAAAGGCGUAGUCGAUGGGAAACAGGUUAAUAUUCCUGUACUUGGUGUUACUGCGAAGGGGGGACGGAGAAGGCUAUGUUGGCCGGGCGACGGUUGUCCCGGUUUAAGCGUGUAGGCUGGUUUUCCAGGCAAAUCCGGAAAAUCAAGGCUGAGGCGUGAUGACGAGGCACUACGGUGCUGAAGCAACAAAUGCCCUGCUUCCAGGAAAAGCCUCUAAGCAUCAGGUAACAUCAAAUCGUACCCCAAACCGACACAGGUGGUCAGGUAGAGAAUACCAAGGCGCUUGAGAGAACUCGGGUGAAGGAACUAGGCAAAAUGGUGCCGUAACUUCGGGAGAAGGCACGCUGAUAUGUAGGUGAAGCGACUUGCUCGUGGAGCUGAAAUCAGUCGAAGAUACCAGCUGGCUGCAACUGUUUAUUAAAAACACAGCACUGUGCAAACACGAAAGUGGACGUAUACGGUGUGACGCCUGCCCGGUGCCGGAAGGUUAAUUGAUGGGGUCAGCGCAAGCGAAGCUCUUGAUCGAAGCCCCGGUAAACGGCGGCCGUAACUAUAACGGUCCUAAGGUAGCGAAAUUCCUUGUCGGGUAAGUUCCGACCUGCACGAAUGGCGUAAUGAUGGCCAGGCUGUCUCCACCCGAGACUCAGUGAAAUUGAACUCGCUGUGAAGAUGCAGUGUACCCGCGGCAAGACGGAAAGACCCCGUGAACCUUUACUAUAGCUUGACACUGAACAUUGAGCCUUGAUGUGUAGGAUAGGUGGGAGGCUUUGAAGUGUGGACGCCAGUCUGCAUGGAGCCGACCUUGAAAUACCACCCUUUAAUGUUUGAUGUUCUAACGUGGACCCGUAAUCCGGGUUGCGGACAGUGUCUGGUGGGUAGUUUGACUGGGGCGGUCUCCUCCUAAAGAGUAACGGAGGAGCACGAAGGUUGGCUAAUCCUGGUCGGACAUCAGGAGGUUAGUGCAAUGGCAUAAGCCAGCUUGACUGCGAGCGUGACGGCGCGAGCAGGUGCGAAAGCAGGUCAUAGUGAUCCGGUGGUUCUGAAUGGAAGGGCCAUCGCUCAACGGAUAAAAGGUACUCCGGGGAUAACAGGCUGAUACCGCCCAAGAGUUCAUAUCGACGGCGGUGUUUGGCACCUCGAUGUCGGCUCAUCACAUCCUGGGGCUGAAGUAGGUCCCAAGGGUAUGGCUGUUCGCCAUUUAAAGUGGUACGCGAGCUGGGUUUAGAACGUCGUGAGACAGUUCGGUCCCUAUCUGCCGUGGGCGCUGGAGAACUGAGGGGGGCUGCUCCUAGUACGAGAGGACCGGAGUGGACGCAUCACUGGUGUUCGGGUUGUCAUGCCAAUGGCACUGCCCGGUAGCUAAAUGCGGAAGAGAUAAGUGCUGAAAGCAUCUAAGCACGAAACUUGCCCCGAGAUGAGUUCUCCCUGACUCCUUGAGAGUCCUGAAGGAACGUUGAAGACGACGACGUUGAUAGGCCGGGUGUGUAAGCGCAGCGAUGCGUUGAGCUAACCGGUACUAAUGAACCGUGAGGCUUAACCUU
rnacentral:rRNA from 1 species